rnacentral:tRNA from 2 species
GGGCCUAUGGCUUAAUGGAUAAAGCGCCGGUCUACGGAACCGGAGAUUCCAAGUUCGAUCCCUGGUAGGCUCG